CCGGUUUGGUCACCGCAAAGGUGCUAAGAGGGAAUGCCGUGAAAGUCGGCAACAGUCCCGCUGCUGUAAGUUCAAACACACGGCAACCGUCGAGAAAAGCCACUGUGCGCCCCGAGGCGACACGGGAAGGCGAGGAAACCGAAGAACAAGUCAGAAGACCUGCCAAGCCA
rnacentral:ncRNA from 1 species